GACGAACGCUGGCGGCGUGCUUAACACAUGCAAGUCGAACGGAAAGGCCCUGCUUGCAGGGUACUCGAGUGGCGAACGGGUGAGUAACACGUGGGUGAUCUGCCCUGCACUUCGGGAUAAGCCUGGGAAACUGGGUCUAAUACCGGAUAGGAGCCAUUUUUAGUGUGAUGGUUGGAAAGUUUUUUCGGUGUAGGAUGAGCUCGCGGCCUAUCAGCUUGUUGGUGGGGUAAUGGCCUACCAAGGCGGCGACGGGUAGCCGGCCUGAGAGGGUGGACGGCAACAUUGGGACUGAGAUACGGCCCAGACUCCGACGGGAGGCAGCAGUGGGGAAUAUUGCACAAUGGGCGCAAGCCUGAUGCAGCGACGCCGCGUGGGGGAUGACGGCCUUCGGGUUGGAAACUCCUUUCGCUAGGGACGAAGCUUUUUGUGACGGUACCUAGAUAAGAAGCCCCGGCUAACUACGUG
rnacentral:rRNA from 1 species